UUCGACCUGAAUCUGACGUGAUU
rnacentral:rRNA from 1 species